UACGAAGGGGGCGAGCGUUGUUCGGAAUUACUGGGCGUAAAGGGCGCGCAGGCGGCCUUAGAAGUCAGAUGUGAAAGCCCCGGGCUCAACCUGGGAAUGGCAUUUGAUACUCUGAGGCUGGAGUACGGGAGAGGAGAGUGGAAUUCCCAGUGUAGAGGUGAAAUUCGUAGAUAUCGCAAGAACACCAGUGGACGGAAGGCGGCUCACUGGCCCGGUACUGACGCUGAGGUGCGAAAGCGUGGGGAGCAAACAGG
rnacentral:rRNA from 1 species